UAAUGUGAAUUGCAGAAUUCAGUGAAUCAUCGAAUCUUUGAACGCACCUUGCGCCCCUUKGUAUUCCGAGGGGCACACCCGUUUGAGUGUCGUGAAAUUCUCAACCUUCUCGGUUUUCUUCUGGACACCGAAGGAGGCUUGGACAUUGGAGGCCUUUGCUGGCGUCUCUUAGACCCAGCUCCUCUUAAAUGAAUUAGCGGGGUCCUCUUUGCCGAUCCUUGACAUGUGAUAAGAUGUUUCCAUGACUUGGUUUCUGGCUCUGUUGCAUUUGGGACCCGCUUCUAACCGUCUCGACGAGACAAUGUUUGGGCGUGUCUCCCUUCUCGGGAGACUCUCUCAACCCCCACGAACCCUUGACCUCAAAUCGGGUGAGACUACCCGCUGAACUUAAGCAUAUCAAUAAGCGGAGGAAAAGAAACUAACAAGGAUUCCCCUAGUAACUGCGAGUGAAGCGGGAAAAGCUCAAAUUUAAAAUCUGGCGGUCUCUGGCCGUCCGAGUUGUAAUUUAGAGAAGCGUCUUCCGCGCCGGGCCGUGCACAAGUCUCCUGGAAUGGAGCGUCAUAGAGGGUGAGAAUCCCGUCUUUGGCACGGAUGCCUGUGCUUCUGUGAUGCGCUCUCGAAGAGUCGAGUUGUUUGGGAAUGCAGCUCAAAAUGGGUGGUGAACUCCAUCUAAAGCUAAAUAUUGGCGAGAGACCGAUAGCGAACAAGUACCGUGAGGGAAAGAUGAAAAGCACUUUGGAAAGAGAGUGAAACAGUACGUGAAAUUGUUGAAAGGGAAACGCUUGAAGUCAGUCGCGUCGACCGAGACUCAGCCUUGCCUUGGCUUGGUGUACUUCUCGGCCCGACGGGUCAGCGUCGAUUUUGCCCCUCGGAUAAUGGCAAGGGAAAGGUGGCACCUUCGCGGGUGUGUUAUAGUCUCCUGUCGCAUGCGAGGGGUGGGAUUGAGGAACCUCAGCGCGCAACCUUGGUGUCGGGGCUUCGGCCCACGUCACGCGCUUAGGAUGCUGGCGUAA
rnacentral:rRNA from 1 species